GACGAACGCUGGCGGCGUGCUUAACUCAUGCAAGUCGAACGGAAAGGCCCUGCUUUUGUGGGGUGCUCGAGUGGCGAACGGGUGAGUAACACGUGAGUAACCUGCCCUUGACUUUGGGAUAACUUCAGGAAACUGGGGCUAAUACCGGAUAGGAGCUCCUGCUGCAUGGUGGGGGUUGGAAAGUUUCGGCGGUUGGGGAUGGACUCGCGGCUUAUCAGCUUGUUGGUGGGGUAGUGGCUUACCAAGGCUUUGACGGGUAGCCGGCCUGAGAGGGUGACCGGCCACAUUGGGACUGAGAUACGGCCCAGACUUCUACGGGAGGCAGCAGUGGGGAAUAUUGCACAAUGGGCGGAAGCCUGAUGCAGCAACGCCGCGUGCGGGAUGACGGCCUUCGGGUUGUAAACCGCUUUCGCCUGUGACGAAGCGUGAGUGACGGUAAUGGGUAAAGAAGCACCGGCUAACUACGUG
rnacentral:rRNA from 1 species